rnacentral:rRNA from 1 species
UACGUAGGGUGCAAGCGUUGUCCGGAAUUAUUGGGCGUAAAGAGCUCGUAGGCGGUCUGUCGCGUCUGCUGUGAAAACUCAGGGCUUAACCCUGAGCUUGCAGUGGGUACGGGCAGACUAGAGUGCGGUAGGGGAGACUGGAAUUCCUGGUGUAGCGGUGAAAUGCGCAGAUAUCAGGAGGAACACCGGUGGCGAAGGCGGGUCUCUGGUCCGUAACUGACGCUGAGGAGCGAAAGCAUGGGGAGCGAACAGG